CCCUUAGAUGUUCUGGGCUGCACGCGUGCUACAAUGGCGUUUCCAGCAAGUCUGCGAACCCGAGAGGGCCAGCGGAUCCUCGAAUUGGCGUCGUGAUCGGGACAGUCGAUUGCAAUUAUUUGACUCAAACGAGGAAUUCCUUGUAAUCGCGAUUCAUCAUAUCGCGCUGAAUACGUCCCUGCCCUUUGUACACACCGCCCGUCGCUCCUACCGAUUGAGCGAUCCGGUAAAUGUUUUGGAUUGGUGCCGGGGCGGCUAGCUGCCGGUCGCUACGAAAUUUUGUGAACCUUAUCGCUUAGAGGAAGGAAAAGUCGUAACA
rnacentral:rRNA from 1 species